AUACAGUAGUUCCCACAGUCUGAAAACGAAAAAGAUAUAUUAUUAUUAUUAUCAUCACAGAGAAAGAAAAAAAACAUAGCAAGUGUAAACACCAUGAAUCAACAACUACAAAGGCCAGAUGAAAAUCAAGUGAUGCAAGAUAUUGCUAAGGAUCCAACUCAGUUAUUUGGACGUGUGAGCCAUGAUGAAUUUUGUGAAGCUGUAAAUGAGAAGCUGCAGGUACAAGGAGAAGAAGCAGAUGAUGAUCUCUUCUCUAUUGCUAUAUCAGACCUCGAUAUCUCUGAACCUCUUAGUCGCUCAAAGUAAUUAGAAGAAGAAAAAAAAAUUAAUGAUUAUUUUUGUAAUACUUGCUGAACGGUGAAAACAAUAGAUUUCACCAUCCAUCCAAUGUAACCUAACUAGGUACACUCUGUAUUCAUGUCAUCUGUAUUAAAUCCGUUAAAUUAAACAAAGCUCAAUGUUUCAGCACUA